CUACGGGAGGCUGCAGUGGGGAAUAUUGCGCAAUGGGCGCAAGCCUGAUGCAGCCAUGCCGCGUGUAUGAAGAAGGCCUUCGGGUUGUAAAGUACUUUCAGCGGGGAGGAAGGGAGUAAAGUUAAUACCUUUGCUCAUUGACGUUACCCGCAGAAGAAGCACCGGCUAACUCCGUGCCAGCAGCCGCGGUAAUACGGAGGGUGCAAGCGUUAAUCGGAAUUACUGGGCGUAAAGCGCACGCAGGCGGUUUGUUAAGUCAGAUGUGAAAUCCCCGGGCUCAACCUGGGAACUGCAUCUGGUACUGGGAAGCUUGAGUCUCGUAGAGGGGGGUAGAAUUCCAGGUGGAGCGGUGAAAUGCGUAGAAAUCUGGAGGAAUACCGGUGGGGAAGGCGGCCCCCUGGACGAAGACUGACGCUCAGGUGCGAAAGCGUGGGGAGCAAACAGGAUUAGAUACCCGUUGUAGUC
rnacentral:rRNA from 1 species